GCGACCCGACUUCCCAGUGGGUCACCCAUCUUGCUUGUGCUAUGUGUCAAGCACGCUUAACUUUGAAAUUCUUUUCGAGUGAUCACCAGUACAGACACUCGUAUUAUUGAUAUAUCUACAUCUAUUAAUUCAUUUAAAUGCUAUAUACUCACUCAUAUAAUUAUAAUCUUUGAUAUGUGGAGAUAAUACCUUAAAUAUGUUGUUAAUUAGUGAGCGAGUUCGUUUCGGUCCUUAUUUUUAUCGUCGGUAAAAUAUUUAAUUAAUAUUUAAUAAUUAAUUAAUUAAUUAAUUAAUUUUUUUUUUUAACAUUAAUACACCAAAAGUGUUUUAAUUUGGUUAUUAUAAUGUGAUUUGAAUUUAUUUGUUUAUGUUAAAUGCAAUCAUCAUCAUCAUUGCCUUAAAUAUAUAAAACAUAUAUAGUUUUAAUAAUUAAAGCACUUGAAAUAUAUAGUUAAAUAAAACAUAAAUUUGAAAAGAAAGUGCAAAUGUAAUUUCGUUUGAAAACAUAAAUAUAUAGUUUUAAUAAUUCUAAGCAUCAUCAUCAUCAUCAUCGGCAUCAGGCCCUGGAGGUGGCUGAGCAUUAUACAUCCUCAUAAACGCCUCCAAUUGAGCCAUGCGGUCCUCCAUCUGUUGGCGUUGUGCUUGCUCUGCCGCCAAUUGCUCCUCCAGCGUGGAGAUCCGUGUCUCAUAAAGCUGCUGAGACACCGCAGAACUGCCCGUGCUGCGGAUAGACCCCCUACUAGCCUGACUCUGCCCGGCACUCCCGACGCCGUAGAUCCGUGACCUAUCAAUUUGCACCACCUCCAAAUACACCUCGUCUAGCCGCUCCUGUCGUCCUGUGGCAGCGGCCAGUCGAUGAACCUCGGCCUAAUACAUACAUAACAAUGCAUAAUUGUUAGAAAAUAAAUACAUUCACUAAAUAUUUGAAUAAACUUAAACACUUACGUCAAUUCUAGCAUCUCUCUCCGACGUAUAACUUCCGUCGGCGUACGUGUGGAGGCGGAGGAAGGUGGCAUAGUUCGGUGCAUCCUGGGGAGUACCAGGAUCCAAGCUCUGUAGAUGCAUUUAUAUAAGAUAAAUAAGUUAUAUUAGUCAAUAUAUUAAUUUAAUUUAUAUACUUAAUUAUUUCUUAAUUACAUACCAUAUACUGCUGCAGGAUACGAGUCGACUGGGAC
rnacentral:lncRNA from 1 species